AUCAAAUAUAUAUAUAUAUAUAUAUAUAUAUCACCAUUAUGUAUUUGUCUCAAUAUGCUUCAUGACUAUUAAUGUGUAUGUACAAGAAUUACUCCUCCCGAAUUGCUUAUAUAACAUAUAAAGAAUCCGCUUCGACAUUCUCUCAGACAGGUGAUCGGCGACGCUGGAAAUGGCGAAUGGAAGCGGCGGUGGCGACGGCGACGCUAGGGAUUUGGGACGAAGAAGGAUGCAGUAAGAGCAUUCUCCAGGAGUGGCAGCUCCGAUCUCGAACUGUCUUUCGGACCGCCUUCGUCCCCUCCCAAAACCCUAACCCUGAAACCCUCGUCGUCGCCGCCUCCAGCGACGGUUCCAUCGCCACCCUCUCAGUGUUUGGUAAAAACAAACAUGAAAUCAUCUCAACAUGCGAGGACAGGAAGUAUCCAGCGACAUUUCUUGCAUUGAUGGCAUUGCCCUUUUCUAAAGCAGGUGGAUAGGGUCUUCAACCCAAAUGUCAGGAUUAUAUGUGGCCCUUUACUGGCGGAGCCAUGUUGUAUCAUUUGGGACACAAGGGCUCUGCAUCUGGUUAACACGGAUCCCAUAUUGGUAUAAACCUGAAUGCAAAAAUGAGGUUAUCAGUUUGGAAUCUGCUAUCUGGUGAAUGUGUUUGUAGUAUAAACAGUCAUGCACGGUGCAAGAUUUACUGAUUGAUGAUGACCAAGUAAGUUCAUGCAACUAUAGAUAUAUGCUCAAACUGACACAUCGUUCGCCUUUUACCCCAUAUCUAUCAUGAGACACCUGCCAAGAGGAUGAAUUCCCUAUUGCUGUGUGCUUGCUUGACCACUGGUCUACCAUCGAAGAUUCUUGCUACCGCUUGGAUUGCUGCUGACGCUGGUCUUCUCCUAUCUGUGUGUCUGAUCCGUUGAUCAUUCCUGCCUGAAUAUGCCACCACAAUUGGGUGGUCUCAUUGAGGUGGCACACAAAAGCCUCAUCCGGAUAAAAUCCUGCAUGCCAUUCACAACAUGAACCACGGUCUGCACACCACCAGGUUUUAGUAAAGUUCAUUUGUUCAUUUUUAACUGCUUCACAAUUUGUUUACGGAAAGUUUCUUUUAAGUUUGUGGCAUCAACACAAUGCUUGCCAUUGUGUUCUUCCGGCACCGUAAAAGAUUUUACACCAUCAGUUCAAUGUCUGUCUAUAUGAUUACAUUUUUUGUAAUUUUAACUGUUUAUUAUGGUAGUCUGUUGUGAAGCUUUGUCCAACUCUCAUAUAUUAUGUAUCUUGACUAUGUACUUUUAAUUGGUUC